GUCUACAGCCAUGCCACCCUGCACGUGUCCAAUCUCAUCUGAUCUCGGAAGCUAAGCAGGGUCGGGCCUGUUUAGUACUUGGAUGGGAGACCACCUAGGAAUGCUGGGUGCUGUAGGUG
rnacentral:rRNA from 1 species